rnacentral:rRNA from 1 species
AGAGCGAACGCUGGCGGCAGGCCUAACACAUGCAAGUCGAGCGCCCGUAGCAAUACGGGAGCGGCAGACGGGAUAGUAACACGUGGGAACGCGCCCUUCGGUUCGGAAUAACUCAGGGAAACUUGAGCUAAUACCGGAUACGCCCUUACGGGGAAAGAUUUAUUGCCGAAGGAACGGCCCGCGUCCGAUUAGCUAGUUGGUGAGGUAAUGGCUCACCAAGGCGACGAUCGGUAGCUGGUCUGAGAGGAUGACCAGCAUCACUGGGACUGAGACACGGCCCAGACUCCUACGGGAGGCAGCAGUGGGGAAUAUUGGACAAUGGGCGCAAGCCUGAUCCAGCCAUGCCGCGUGGAUGAUGAGGCCUUAGGGUUGUAAAGUCCUUUUAAGGGAAGAUAAUGACGGUACCCGUAGAAUAAGCCCCGGCUAACUUCGUGCCAGCAGCCGC